rnacentral:rRNA from 1 species
CGACCGGCAAACGGGUGCGGAACACGUACAGAACCUUCCUUUAAGCGGGGGAUAGCCCGGAGAAAUCCGGAUUAAUACCCCAUAGUAUAUUAAAAAGGCAUCUUUUUGAUAUUAAAGAUUUAUCACUUAGAGAUGGCUGUGCGGCUGAUUAGGUAGUUGGUUGGGGUAAAGGCCCACCAAGCCGGCGAUCAGUAACUGGUGUGAGAGCACGACCAGUCACACGGGCACUGAGACACGGGCCCG